GGGGAAGAGAAAAACGAGUUGAUCCCCAAACCCUUUCGCUCUCUAGACGCAGACACCUCGUCUCCCACACGCAACCUCCUCUUCCCACUCCCCAUCUAGGGCCGCCGCUGCCGCCGCCGUCCCGUCGCUCCUCCGGCGCUGGCCACCGAAGGAAGGUUGGCUUCUCCUAUGGAUCUUCUCCUCUUGGUGGCCCCUCCGUCCUCUUCGCCGGCGGCGAGCUCUUCGGGUCGGGGUCCUCGCCGCUCGUCUUCCUGACCCUGCUCCUGACCGAGGGCGGCGGCAUGGACCUCCUACUUCCCUCUCUUAUUCCCCUGUGCCUCGGCGAGGUGGGCCAAGCCAGCGCACACGACAAACGGUGGUUGCGGCUACGGCUCCGACGCGGGCGCCGCGGAGGUGGAGGCGGAGCUGCGGUGGCUGGUGAUGGAUGGCCGCGACAACGGCGUCAGCUUCGACGAGUUUCAUCACCUCCACUGCUAUCUCAGGCAGUAGCCAAUUGAUGGAUUUGACUGCUGAUCCCUUUGUGUUGGCUGAUGGUGGUGAGAUGGAAAUAAGGAUCAACCAUGGUGGGAUGGGAAUCUUUAAGAGGAAGAAUCAAGCGACACGAGCACCUAAUCCACAUGUGUUGACAAUCUCUGCUCCCUUUUAAACUCAAGAUUUUAACCAAGAUCAUAUACAUUGUGAACCAAAGAUAGUUUAGUAUUCGGUUUAAUUCUGCUGUUUGUUCUAUUAGACAAAUUACUAUUAUGUUGAAACCUUGCCGUGGUUGUGCUAAAUUGUUUAUUUCUAUCUGUACCUGCCAGUUCUAAGCACCUAUUUCUUCUUCUUCUUCUUUUGUAUCUAUACAUAACAAUUCUAUUUUUCUUACCCCUGCAGUUAUACAUGACCUGCAGCUUAUUCACAUGGAUCUUAAGCCAGAGAACAUUCUCCUUGUUUCACCUGAUACAAUCAGGGUUCAUGAUUAUAAGGUGUGUCUUCGGUUGCAUCCUUGAAAUAUUUCACUACUUAUGUUGGAUGGAUGAUGGAUCUCAUACUUUCAAGGGAUAUCUACUAACAAACUACCAAAAUAUAUAGCUACUUUAUUGUGACAAGUUUUUAUAUCAGAGGCACAUGCGAGUUUGGCUGUUAGUAGCUUUCUGUUCGAACUCAAUGGGAUUUCAUAUGCACAAGUGCAUAAGAAAGUAAAGAUUGUUCUUUCCCUGCUAAAGUUUUCAUUGUGCAGGUUUGCUGACUUGAUUCAAGCUAUCCUGGUGGAGUGACAUCAACAUCCAGAAUGCCAAAAGGCUUUUGGUAGAUUCCAAGGCAGGAUAAAAUCCAUACAAUGGUUUCACACCUUCAGUAAGUCUUGCCAUGCACUAUUUUUUCAUGAAUUUGAGGACGAGGAGAGCUACGAGCGGUUCUGGCGGCAUGAGCGGCGAGGAGUGAUGGCGUGCGACUACACUGAGGUGUACGCCUCCAUGUCAGGCAACUGUGGCCGUCACGUCGUGGAGCAGCGUUCUGCCAUGGUGAACUGGAUCAUCGAGUGGUUUCUUCUGUUUGCCCAUUGAAUCUGCUCACAAGAGAUGUGAUAAUUCUAAGCUGGAGGAAGUUGUGGAAGAGGCUACCAAGCUCCAGGAAGCUGCAGUUGAGGAAGAACAGAAGCUUGCCAGUGCUGAGAAGUAUGUUACCUUGCUAGCAAUGGAGGAUUCGCAUAUCUUAGGUGUCAUUUCGAAGUCCACAUCGGAACCAGCCAUCAAGAGCAUUGAAGGUGCCUCAACUGAAGAUGGUGAGAGCAGCAAAUGGUCACUGGUGUUGGAGAUAGAUGAUGAGAUCAAUAGUACCAGUGAAGAUAAGGAAGUAGCUGCCGUUGAAGUGCCAAAAAGGAAGCCAUCAAUGUAGAUGCUUUCAGUUCCACCGCCCAGCUGUUGUAACAGAGAAGGAAGUCUCUGGUGUUUAUUUCAAGGAAGAUGCUCUCAGUUCCACCGUUGAGGCUGCUGAUGCUGCUAGCAAUAUAGCCCCAGCAGCUGUGACAGCGAAGGAAGUCACUUCUGCUGAGCGGGAGCCUGCCACAGCAGCCGACCUGUGAGGUAUGCUAUUUGGUACCAGCACUUCAUUCUCAACAUAAGGUUGUGUCUGUUACUCAUAUAAAAGGCUUUUUUCUAGAUCUGCAGAUUAUGGUUUUCCAAACACAAUACACUGAUUGUAGUUUUUGUGAGCUUGUUCUUUAUAAGAAAAUAAUUGAACCUUUUCAAUUGUCAUUAUGCCAUUGAUAUCAAAAUCUUGCAUGAGUUUUUGUUGAUUGUUUA